ACGGAAUGGAAUUUUCUUCUUCUUUUUUUCUUUACUGAAUAAGACACCCAGAAUGUACACUCAAAAAAGUGAAUGAGGUGUGUUGUGCACUAUAUAUAAUUUUUAUGUUUUCAGUUUACUUAAAAUACAUGUCUUUGUUAUGUUAAAAUAUUUUUUUCUAAUAAAGUCCAUGUAAUUGUGUCUUUGGUUAUGUGUACAAAAUAAUUAUGCGUUGGUUGAUCACAAAACAUUUAAUUGAAGUGAAUUAUGAUUGAAAUACUUAUUACAUCCAGAAGGUGGCAGUAAGAAGAAAAUUCAAAUGCUUCACACUACACGUGCGCAAACUCUGAAUCAACUUUCUUGUUUUUGCCGGUGAACUUGCCAACGGUCGUCACCAUUUGUCUGCGUUUCUGGCUUGAGAGAGAGCAGUAGCCAGUGCAUGAUAAAACUACACUACCUUCGGUCUGCUUUUACCCCGCCGACCCCCAGGCAGACUGACUCAUUUGGAUGAUGGCUGCACCAGUAAAACUACGGAUUAUCCUUGGUUCCAACAAUGCUGAAAAACUGACCAUAGAAUCAGGCAUGCCAAUGUCUGUUGAGGAUCUUGCAAAUGAGAUCAAACGUCAGUUUGAUAUAGAGGAGGACAUUAGACUCCAGUACAUGGACAGUGACUUUGAUAACGAAUUUGUCAACCUUAACAAAAUUUGCGACAUUCAAGACAAGAGCACAGUGAAAAUCAUCCGCUUGUCAGAUGCUCUAGACCUCAGCCAAGGCAGCAUGAACCAGAGUGGGGAAGAAGCAUCCUUGUCAUCUUCUGACACAUUCAAACUCUCCUCUGAUUCAGAAUCUUCUCGAUCACAUUGGCCCACAGAAUUCCAAAUUCCAAAGUUUUCAUAUGACGUGGAGAUGCAACUUCGAAGUGCAAACCAGGACUUUGUAUCAAAUGGAGUUCUUCUGACCCCCGGUCAUGAACUUAAAUCAGACAUCUUGGAAAGUCUGGCUCAGGAAAUCAUCAAGUUCAAGGCAUAUCCCUCAAACUUGGAAAUUGAAUCUGUUGCUGAAGCUUUAAUCAAAGCACAUCCAUGUUUGAGAGAACAGAGAUCCUUCUGUGGUUUCUACGGCUGGAAAAUAAGCCUCAAGUAUAGGAUGGCAAACUACAGGACAAAACUUAGAAACUUGGGGUGCCCAGAACUGAGCAUCAAUUCCCUCAAGCACAAACCUGCAGAUAGAUGUCAGCCCGCCUAUGAUGUCAAAAAACCAAGGAAAGCCGAAGUCAAUUUUUCCCCCCCCUUUCUUGCUGGAGAGACCCAGGACAGCCUUGAAGGGGAAAGAUUGGUGUUGUUAUCUGAGGUCAAGAAGAGACAUAAUGAUAAAGUUGUCAAAGAAAAGAUGGCUAAGACCUUCGCAGAAGGCAAGAGGUCGUCAGAGACAAGCCCAUGAUCAUGGAGUUCAAGAUCAGAUGGCCAGGACUCUUCACAGAGGUGGAAGCAGAAUUUGUGAGGAUCACUACUGGUCCCCUUGUCUCAAAGUUCCAUGCACAGCUUGACCAACACACUGCCCAGCUCAUCAAAGUGUUCAAGAAGAAAGGAGGCUCUGCAGGGACUACCAUCAGAAGGAUUUUGGUCCCAAUCACACAGAAUGAAACUGUUGAAAAGAGGAGGGAGUGCAUCCUCAGGGCGCUUUGUAUCUACCUCAACGAAGACCCGAACAUCCUCUUCAAAGAAUACCUGGAUACUGCUGGCACCGCUGCACAGAGGGAGCUUGAGCAACUUACCCUUGGCAUCUACAUCAUCAAAGUCGAGGGAGGUGAUGCCACCACUCCUCCAGCUGAUGUUGGAAUAGUGAUCGAGGGUGUUGAAGUUCUUCAUGACCUGGGAGACGUCACCUCUGCAUGUGCACUCUUAAUGGGUGUAAUAUAUGCACUGAACUUCAGUUAUCCUAAGGAACUGAAGACCUUCUUUGAAGGACUUCAAAAGCUCUUCCUUCAGCUGGAUGCUGGCAGACUCUCAGCCAAGGUACAAAUGCUCAAGAACAAACUGUAUGAAUGAACCAAACAUUGAUUUGGAUGCUGAAGUGACAAGUUAAGUGAGAGACCAUGCAGCACCAAAUUUGUUGACAACUGAAUGGAAAUAGAAAUAGCAAAUCUUCUAGCUGAAGUUAUUGUUUACGUAGAUAUUGAAAACUCUUUCAUAACCAGAGGACCAUAAGAACUUCGUGUAGUGGCUGCAACACGAGCUGACGUGCUUGUAAAAAUGUUUUCCUUCCACACUACUAAAUUAAAGGUUGACAGCAGCACUGGUUGUUAUAGUUUGACUAUUAUGCUGUUUAAAAAAAAAGAGAACUACAAGUUUGUUAUAUUGUCACACAAUAAUAUUGACAAAUCAGGGAUGUUUUGUUUGUUUAUGCUGCAUCAAGGUAGUUUAUAAUUGUUAGUGUUGGGUAACGAUGCAAAACAAGUUGACAUGUUUGUCAAUAUAAUUACAUUUCAGGGUAUUCCCUCCACAAUAUUAAAAAUGGUUAGAUUACAAUGCUGUUACAAAAACAAAAAAUUGAGAACUGCAAGCCUGUUGGAUUGUUGGAUUGCAUAAAAGCAGUUUGCAACUGUUGGUGUUGAACCAUGCUGCACCCUAAUAUCUGUUAGGGUUUUAUUUUGGACCAAGUGGCAACAAAAUGUUCAAUAAAUAUCGCUUAAUAAAGGAAAUGACAAAUAUAUGUUGGGUGUACGA